UACGUAGGGUGCGAGCGUUAAUCGGAAUACUGGGCGUAAAGCGUGCGCAGGCGGUGAUGUAAGACAGAUGUGAAAUCCCCGGGCUUAACCUGGGAACUGCAUUGGUGACUGCAUUGCUCGAGUAUGGCAGAGGGGGGUGGAAUUCCACGUGUAGCAGCGAAAUGACGUAGAGAUGUGGAGGAACACCGGAUGGCGAAGGCAGCCCCCUGGGU
rnacentral:rRNA from 1 species